rnacentral:rRNA from 1 species
UACGUAGGGUGCGAGCGUUGUCCGGAAUUAUUGGGCGUAAAGAGCUUGUAGGCGGUCUGUCGCGUCUGCUGUGAAAAUCCGGGGCUCAACCCCGGACUUGCAGUGGGUACGGGCAGACUAGAGUGUGGUAGGGGAGACUGGAAUUCCUGGUGUAGCGGUGAAAUGCGCAGAUAUCAGGAGGAACACCGAUGGCGAAGGCGGCCAUCUGGACGGUUACUGACGCUGAGACGCGAAAGCGUGGGGAGCAAACAGG